UACGUAGGGGGCAAGCGUUGUCCGGAUUUAUUGGGCGUAAAGAGCGUGUAGGCGGCCAUACAGGUCAGCUGUGAAAACUCGAGGCUCAACCUCGAGACGUCGGUUGAAACCGUAUGGCUAGAGUCCGGAAGAGGAGAGUGGGAUCCUGGUGGAGCGGUGAAAUGCGCAGAUAUCAGGAGGAACACCCGUAGCGAAGGCGGCACUCUGGGCCGAUACUGACACUGAGGAGCGAAAGCGUGGGGAGCGAACAGG
rnacentral:rRNA from 1 species